CCUACGGGUGGCAGCAGUGGGGAAUAUUGGACAAUGGGGGGAACCCUGAUCCAGCGACGCCGCGUGAGUGAAGAAGUAUUUCGGUAUGUAAAGCUCUAUCAGCAGGGAAGAAAGAAAUGACGGUACCUGACUAAGAAGCCCCGGCUAACUACGUGCCAGCAGCCGCGGUAAUACGUAGGGGGCAAGCGUUAUCCGGAUUUACUGGGUGUAAAGGGAGCGUAGACGGUGAUGCAAGUCAGAAGUGAAAGCCCGGGGCUCAACUCCGGGACUGCUUUUGAAACUGUGUGACUGGGGUGCAGGAGAGGUAAGCGGAAUUCCUGGUGUAGCGGUGAAAUGCGUAGAUAUCAGGAGGAACACCAGUGGCGAAGGCGGCUUACUGGACUGUAACUGACGUUGAGGCUCGAAAGCGUGGGGAGCAAACAGGAUUAGAUACCCCUGUAGUC
rnacentral:rRNA from 1 species